AAGUCGAACGGCAGCACGGACUUCGGUCUGGUGGCGAGUGGCGAACGGGUGAGUAAUGUAUCGGAACGUACCUUCAGUGGGGGAUAACGUAGCGAAAGUUACGCUAAUACCGCAUAUUCUGUGAGCAGGAAAGCAGGGGAUCGCAAGACCUUGCGCUGAUUGAGCGGCCGAUAUCAGAUUAGCUAGUUGGUGAGGUAAAGGCUCACCAAGGCGACGAUCUGUAGCGGGUCUGAGAGGAUGAUCCGCCACACUGGAACUGAGACACGGUCCAGACUCCUACGGGAGGCAGCAGUGGGGAAUUUUGGACAAUGGGGGCAACCCUGAUCCAGCCAUGCCGCGUGAGUGAAGAAGGCCUUCGGGUUGUAAAGCUCUUUCGGCCGGGAAGAAAUCGCAUGGGCUAAUAUCCUGUGCGGAUGACGGUACCGGCAUAAGAAGCACCGGCUAACUACGUG
rnacentral:rRNA from 1 species